GGAAGAGUGCUGGAUUGGAAGCAGGGAUUUUGAAUGCUGCCGUGUCAGAGGAAGAGUCUGGCUGUUUAUGAAACUGUACAUGGCAGUGGAGUCCUGUGUGGACAGACCUGACAGAGAGUCUUUGGGGUUCGGAUGGAUGUUUGCCAUGGCCAAAAAUUCCUGUAAAAAGAGGAAUUUAUAGCAACUUUUAUAGACGUUUUGGGGCGGAGGGUUGGUGGCUGCAGAAGCGACGGGCUGCACUCUGAUGGCUGGUCUCUUGCACUCUGGGCCACCUGUGAGGCUACUGUAGGCCGGAGGUCCUAAACACGUCUGCCUCUGGAGCAGCUGCAGGACACUCUGAAUGUCUGAUGUCAUCUGAGACUCUAACCUGGUGUUCCUGCAGUUGGUCUAGUCUGUGCUCCACUUCUCCAUACGUGAUGUCACCGUCCAGAUCAUCAACUUCAGCGCCAGCCUGUUCCUGUGCAGCCAUGUCCAUGUCCGCUUUGACGCUGUCAGCUAACCACCCAUCAGUCUGGAUAUCUAAAACAGACACCUGCUCCACGCUGAUCAGAACGGCUGCCUCUGCGCAAGAUGCCAAUUUAUGUCUGAUCACAGACUGUGGAGGAACCAGACAUGAGCAGUGUAGUGAAAUUAGAUUCCUCCAGGACAGAUUCACCCUCAUGGAUGGACAGAGACUGAGAAGACACCUGAACAUGUUCACCGGGUUUGAGACACAACAGAAAUGGACAACAAGGACACAUGGUUAGGACAUGGUGUUAAGAUGAAAUACCACAAAAACCUCACCAUCAAAUGUCUUUUUUUCGGCGUCUUCGGUGGGAGGACUGCAGCCCGGUGUGGAAGGGUAGCUCUGAACAGAUGGAUACUCUAUUAUUGCUGCUCCCAGAAGCCUCUGCUGUUCCUCUCUGGAGGUGUGACGGUCCUCUGAGCUUCUCUUAGAGCUGAGACGAGACUCUCGCCGCUCCGUCCUGCACUCGCUGUCCGCUUCUUUGAGGCUUCCUCCUACGGGGCGAUCGGAGAUCUUCCUUCGGCUCUUCGUGUCCUCUCCGUCUGAAUCACUGGCAUGUGAAUAAGUGCUCUGAAGAGAAGGAGCCCAACAACAACAACAACACACAAUAAUAAUCUCAGGUUAAAGGUCAGCUCCAGAUUGGUGAGGAAAUAGUCUGCGAACUCUGGAUACAUGUCCAGAACCUCCAGCAGCUCUUCUCUCUGGAUGGUGUGCAGGUCGCAGUAGCUGAGCGCUCUGACGUCUGCAUUCGAUUUCCCAGGCUUAGCGUACAGGUGGAUCAUCUCUCCAAAUAUAUCAUUCUUGCCUGGAGAACAAAGGACACAUUCAGAUGGAAAUAUGGCUGAAAACUGCCGACCGCAUUACACAGAUGGGCACCGAGUGACCUGACUGGCUUUAAAGGUGCAAUAUGUAAGAUUUUCUGUCUGCUAGAGGUCGCUAGAGGCCUAUUCAAAACAAAGGCGUAGCUUGAUGACGCCAAGUUUGAGCGUGGAAUCUUGGAACAUGUGGUCUUCACCUCACAGCCGGUGGAAAAGAAUUGAGACAGGACUCGGGAAGAAAUCAUGUUCAUGGAUGUGAUUAUUAACGUUACUGUAGUAUGAAGCAGAGCAGGACCGAGUGUUGUUGGAGCUGAACGAAGCUGCUGGAGCGAUUGUGCAACACAUUCCGCGAGCAGCUGAACGUUUAUUAUGACACAGUCGCCGGCGCUGCAUCCGCUUUUCCGGUCAUGAGUAUGUGGUAACACGGCUCUGUUAAUCAUAUUAGAUACAUUUGAGCGUGUUGAAAAUGAUGUUAUAACGUUACUCUGUGCGUUCACUCGGCGGCUGCUGUCAGACACUUGUUACACACUGCAGUAAGAUAGAUCGAUUUUAGAAUAUCAUAUUAAAUGCUGGAUGGCUUGUGUUGAUAAAUGGCAUGCAAUUCAUUUUAAAACGUAUUGUAUGAUGGAGAAAAUGCUGUAUUACUGUUACUAAAAAUAAAGCUGCAUCUGAU